rnacentral:rRNA from 1 species
UUCCGGUUGAUCCCGCCGGACCCCACUGCUAUCGGGAUAGGACUAAGACAUGCUAGUCGUGUGCCUCAGCCAAAACGAGGCACGGCGCACAGCUCAGUAACACGUGGCUAACCUGCCCUUAGGACGAGAAUAACCCCGGGAAACUGGGGCUAAUGCUCGAUAGGUGAAGAACUCUGGAAUGAGUCUUCACUUAAAAGAGUCUGCGUUAUGCUCGUAGAUUUCGCUUAAGGAUGGGGCCGCGACCGAUCAGGUUGUUGGUGAGGUAAUGGCUCACCAAGCCUUUUACCGGUGCGGGCCGUGAGAGCGGGAGCCCGGAGAUGGGCACUGAGACAAGGGCCCAGGCCCUACGGGGCGCAGCAGUCGCGAAAACUUUGCAAUACACGAAAGUGUGACAGGGCUAUCCCGAGUGCCAUCCGCUGAGGAAGGCUUUUACCCAGUCUAGAACGCUGGGGGAAUAAGGAGAGGGCAAGUCUGGUGUCAGCCGCCGCGGUAAUACCAGCUCUCCGAGUGGUGUGGAUGUUUAUUGGGCCUAAAGCAUCCGUAGCUGGCUAAGUUAGUCCCCUGUUAAAUCCAACGAAUUAAUCGUUGGAUCGCGGGGGAUACUGCUUGGCUAGGGGACGAGAGAGGCAGACGGUAUUUCCGGGGUAGGGGUGAAAUCCUAUAAUCCCGGGAAGACCACCAGUGGCGAAGGCUGUCUGCUAGAACGCGCCCGACGGUGAGGGAUGAAAGCUGGGGGAGCGAACCGGAUUAGAUACCCGGGUAGUCCCAGCUGUAAACGAUGCAGGCUAGGUGUUUGGACGGCCACGUGCCGUUCUAGUGCCGCAGGGAAGCUGUUAAGCCUGCCGCCUGGGGAAUACGAUCGCAAGAUUGAAACUUAAAGGAAUUGGCGGGGGAGCACCACAAGGGGUGAAGCUUGCGGUUUAAUUGGAGUCAACGCCGGG